rnacentral:rRNA from 1 species
AGCGAACGCUGGCGGCAGGCCUAACACAUGCAAGUCGAACGAAGUCUUCGGACUUAGUGGCGGACGGGUGAGUAACACGUGGGAACGUGCCCUUUGGUACGGAAUAACUCAGGGAAACUUGAGCUAAUACCGGAUGUGCCCUUCGGGGGAAAGAUUUAUCGCCAUUGGAGCGGCCCGCGUCUGAUUAGCUAGUUGGUGAGGUAAAGGCUCACCAAGGCUACGAUCAGUAGCUGGUCUGAGAGGAUGACCAGCCACAUUGGGACUGAGACACGGCCCAAACUCCUACGGGAGGCAGCAGUGGGGAAUCUUGCGCAAUGGGCGAAAGCCUGACGCAGCCAUGCCGCGUGGAUGAUGAAGGUCUUAGGAUUGUAAAGCUCUUUCACCGGAGAAGAUAAUGACGGUAUCCGGAGAAGAAGCCCCGGCUAACUUCGUGCCAGCAGCCGCCGUAAAAC